AUAUCAAUAAGCGGAGGAAAAGAAACCAACAGGGAUUGCCUCAGUAACGGCGAGUGAAGCGGCAACAGCUCAAAUUUGAAAUCUGGAGCCUUCGGCUUCCGAGUUGUAAUUUGAAGAGGAUGUUUCGGUGCGACCUGGGCCUAAGUUCCUUGGAACAGGACGUCAUGGAGGGUGAGAAUCCCGUACAUGGCUGCAGGUUUGCUUCUAUGUGAAACUCCUUCGAAGAGUCGAGUUGUUUGGGAAUGCAGCUCAAAAUGGGUGGUAAAUUUCAUCUAAAGCUAAAUACUGGCAAGAGACCGAUAGCGAACAAGUACCGUGAGGGAAAGAUGAAAAGCACCUUGAAAAGGGAGUUAAAUAGUGCGUGAAAUUGUUAAAAGGGAAACGAUUGAGACCAGUAUUGGGCUUGGUUGUUCAGUAACUAGUUGGUGCAAGCCCGCAAGUUAUGUAUUCAGCCAGGUCCGAGUCAGCGUCAGUUUGGGCACCUGGAGAGAGGUCAGAGGAAGAUGGGGUCUACCUUCGGGUAUUCCUUUUAUAGACUCUGGCUGGCACAGGAAUCCGGACUGAGGUGAGCGA
rnacentral:rRNA from 1 species